UGAAAGCAUACGGCCUCAGACUUGUGGA
rnacentral:sRNA from 1 species